UACGUAGGGUGCAAGCGUUAAUCGGAAUUACUGGGCGUAAAGCGUGCGCAGGCGGUUUUGUAAGUCUGAUGUGAAAUCCCCGGGCUCAACCUGGGAAUUGCAUUGGAGACUGCAAGGCUAGAAUCUGGCAGAGGGGGGUAGAAUUCCACGUGUAGCAGUGAAAUGCGUAGAGAUGUGGAGGAACACCGAUGGCGAAGGCAGCCCCCUGGGUCAAGAUUGACGCUCAUGCACGAAAGCGUGGGGAGAAAACAGG
rnacentral:rRNA from 1 species